UAAUCCAAUCUACCUCUAACAUUUUGUUAUUGAAUUAUAUCAGUUGAUCCAAAAUAUUUAAUUCUAGUUAUUUGUACUAAUAUAUUAUUUAUAUAUAAAAUUCUCGCAAACAUUCACAUUUGUAGAUAUAGAAUUAUUGGAGUGCCACAAAUUUCUCAGUCGUACUAGUUUGAAUCUAACAAGUUGUUAGUAGUAUUAGUGAGCUUAAUCAUUAUACAUU
rnacentral:lncRNA from 1 species